CCGCUCUGCAGUGGUUACUCUGCAAAUCUCACUGAGUGGAAAGAACAAUGCUGUGUGCAGCUCCUCGCCUGAGCUUGGCUGGACAGCACAAACACUGCCCUUGCAAACCUUUGUGGAACUGCUGCUGGUAUGGUUGGACAGCAGUGGGAACUGCUGUGGAGAUGACAAGCCUUGGCAGAAAUAUUUAUGGGUCUGUAGCAGCUUAAAACAAAAAGAGAUGUUCAGUAAUCAACUCGUGGUUGUAUUUAACAAGUGAGUAAAAGGGUCUCUUGUCCCUCUAACAGUUUAAAAUUAGCAGGUGCUUUCUCUGCCAAAAUAAAUCUUUAAAGCUUUUCAAUAUUUAUCCUUUAUAAUUGGCAUGUUUAUUGUAGCAUUUGUCCUUGAGUCCACAUUUUCAAGAGAAUCCCAAGAAACACAUCUAAAGAAAGCAAAGCUUCAUAAAAAACCAUUUCAUGACAAGCAGUGUCACCACUCAAGGAUCAGUGUCACACCACAGGCACUCCUUUGUGACAGUACAGUCUCUUCUCUAAGCACCAGAGAUUCCAUUCCUACCAGAGCUUUUGAUUUUGUCAGAGCUCCCAGGGUCACAUACCCUAGAAGUGUCCCUGGUCUGUGCCUUGGUGAUGCUCAAACCCAAUUAGAACAAGUGAUGUUUUGUCAUCAUCAUCUUUUUUUGUCACUGAUGGCCACCUCCAAGAACAGCUGGGCACCUGCACAAUGAGAAGGGGAGCUCCAAAGGGAAAUUGCUGCUGGGAUUAACCCAACAAACUCAUUCCCUGGUGUCUGGGCUUCUUGGGACUGAUGCAGAGACAUUUCUUCUUGCAAAAUCUUCUGCAUAGCAGUUCAACCUUCUGGCCAGCACCAUGGACUCUGUUCACAGGGCAUGGCAGCUUAGAGAGAUUUGCUUGCUGAUCUGCACUCAGGGUUUGACUUUACAAUUUUCCAUUAAAGAGAAAAUAAAUAUUUUGAGUGUGACUGAUUUUUAACUGAAAAACCAAAACCUUAAAAAAAUAGAUAUGUAAAGACUCUCAUAAACAAAAUGUAUUUUUGGAAUUUAAUUGAGACUUUGCAUGCACGUACUAGUGUCAAGCUUAAUUUGUUGUGAUUUGUUGCUUGAAAAAACAUGUGAGAAGCAUCUUCCUGCAUGUUAGUCAUUAUUUAAAAGAGGGCACUCUGUUAGUAGAGCACUGAAACUUAGAUCUCUACAGGCCAGGGAAAAUAAAUCCCUUCCUCUGCGUCCCUCUGCUUUUCUUCCUGCCUCUUCAGGUCUGCUUAAAAUAGGAGCUUGUGUGUCAAGCAAUGUCUAAGUUCAUGUUUGUACAGAGCCUGUUGCAAUGCUGUCUGAGAUGUGCCUGGGAAUGCUGCUGUACCUAAGUGUUUUAUCAUAACAUGAUUAAUAAUUCUAUAUAUUUCAGAAGGAGCAAUCAAGGUUGUUGAGAUAAAUUUUGUGGUUCAGCCACUGCUUUACCAAUUAUUGAUAAAGCAAUUAUUGGUGAAAGUCAUGCCUUUCCCUGCCCCAGACUGUGGUGGAAUAGGAACAAGGGAGUUUGCUCCCCUGGUACCAUGAUAGGGCUGUAGAAAAAAGCAGAGAGCUCCUCCUUUCCUGUGUCUCAGACAGCAGAAGAUUUUGGGAAUAGGUGUAUCCUUCUGAAUCCCAUAACCAGAUACCAGACCUUCAUUCUGUUUGAGUUGAAGUCCUGAGCAAUCUCAAGGCAAGCUAGAAAAUUCAAAGAGUACAAUGACCUUUUUCACUCUUUAGGACUUUGUACCCCUGUGUGCCUCCAAGGAAAGACCAGUAGGGUAGUCAGCUUAGUGAAGGACUUUGUCUUCCAUCUCAGAAUCAAAUACCAUGGCUCUGAAAUAUGAACUAAUUUAUGGAGUCAUGUAAAGCCCAAAACUACAGGAAAGAAAUCUCUAAAUACAUUCAGCCCUGUGGCCAGUUUGCUGCCGUAGGAUUCUUUCUUGGGGUUGCUCCAUUCCCAUGUGUCACUGGGCUCUCUUGACACAAUUCAUGCUUCAUCCCACUGCAAAUCAUACCCAACUCCCUUGUGCCUUGUGUAUGGGACUUCUCCUACCACUCCCCUUUACUCUGCCCAGCUCAGCUCAUGCUGAGCUCCCAUCCUGGAGAGGAGUCAAUGGAAAGGACUUAAAAUUCUGCUUGUGGCAAAAACACUCUUGCAAUGACUCUUUGCUUGCUUCUCCCCAUUGUAGUGUCUUCAUUUACCAACUCCUUUCUCAGGGUCUGGUAGGGGAUCCCAGGCCAGCACCCUUCUCUGAGCAGCUGCCCUCCCACGUGCUCUCAGUGCCUCCUCCCCAGAGCCUCUGGCACACGGCCAUGCUCCCUUCAUCCUGGGAACGUGCUGUGGCCGAGGUGAAAAGUGGCUGAGGUGAAAAGUGCAAGCAAAAUCCUUGUUAACAUUUUGGGAAUACAUUACUGUAAGUGUUUGUACAUAAACUCCUGGAGCUUCACCAAGUUAACUCUGUGUCAUGAUGCAACCACGUGUGGGACUGCUGCUUCAUUUCAUAGAUAAGAUUGCUCUUUGCUCAGGAACCUUCUUCUGAUUUGGUGGGGUUUUCUGCUACAUGUACUUAUCCUGGAUCUGUUUGUAAGGUUGCUUUAUUUUUCCUUGUGAAGAAGUAAACACAGCUACAGACUCCAGAUCUGGGUUUCCUCGCCUACAGCUCAGGGACACUGCUGUAAUUGACCCUGCACAGCUGAGCCAGGUCAGAAUCCAAAGCUCUGGAUUUUGACAUUACUCAGCCAUGCAGAUUUGGCCAUGUGUUUAGCAAAGAGACCCUUUCUCUUAAGUCACUAAAGACCAUCAAACACAUGUUGAGCUGUUGCAUUGAAAAAAACCCCACAAAACCUGUGCCUGUGACUUUGGUGAACAGCAGCAAUAUAAAUCACUACUUCCCAUGAAAAGACCCUCACUGGAAGAGAAGUCAUCUCCAUAUUACCUAAUGUGUGGAAAAAAACAACAGCCAGAAGUUUAUUGAAAAAGAAGGCACAGAACUCAAGGAGCCAAGCCAUGGCAGGUGCUGACAGGAAUCUUCUCCAGACCUCCUCAAGUAAAAGACAUCCCUCCUGCUCCCUCACUUCCUACUUUUGAUUUUCCAUGUGUAUAGCUGUUACAGGGAAUGUGAAAAUGAGAGAACAACACAAAAUCCCCAACCCAAGCUUUUCCUGUGAAGAGGAAUUUUUCCAACCUUCCAGCCACAUCUAGUGCAGAUCUGCCUGGCCCUGCUGCAUCUGCACCCCAGUAUCAUCCAGCACCAGCCAGUCAAUUUUUGUAAAUGCCUUAAUCCAUUAUGGUGUCCCUGACCUGUGCUCCUAUAAGAUGCACACUAUAGCUGUGACCCACAUGGAGCUCCCCAGUGCCUUUGGAAAAGCCACCCCACCCUCCUUCCAUCACACUGUGUUCAAGUGAAUCCCACUGUAUAAAACCUACAUCUUCUUCUUUCCUAUUUCUGUACAUCUGGAGGACAGAAUGUGCUGUCUAUAUUUAGUGAAAAAAUAAAACUGUCCACAUUGUGCUCCAUUUAAAUCCAUGGAGAGCUUUGUUCCUGAUUUUAGCAUGGAGAGGAUAGUGUCACUUUUUUCUUCCUGGGCUGGAGCUGCAAUUGCUGAGCUGCUGCCCUUGAAGCCCCAGUACCAAGUCAAAGCCUAUAAAUCAGAGAGCUUUGUGCACUGGCAAACACAUGCCAAUGGGCACUAUAGGAAAUGCUUCUGAGAAGUCACAAGUAAAAUAAAGAUAAUAUAAAUUAUUGCCAAUUGUAUCAAAUCAUUAUCAAGAAAUAAAAGGGAGUGCAUUGUUAUGCUGCUGGGCUGUUUUUUGGUGUUGGUUUAUAUUUAACCUACUUAAAUAAACUGCAAUGGCUGUUCUGUGAACACAAAAAUGGAUUGAAAGUUUCCAUUUGAUUAAAUAAGGAGAAGAAAUUACCCUGUGGCUAGUCUGUACAUUCACUGAUCAACAAUGAAAUCUCAAUGGAAACUAGUGACCUGCCACUGUCAACACACAACCAGUUUGAACGGAGCUUGAAGGGGGCAGUCAUGUAAGCACCACUUU